GUGAAUUAAACGUGCUUGGUGUCUUCGCUUCGGCAAGGCCCUUGCUUAAAUCACAUCCUAACACCUGUGAACUGUAAGACGUAUGAUGAGGUCUUUGGCCAAGUCAUCGUCUGCCCAUUUUUAACAAACAAUUAAUGUAACAAACGUAGUCUUAUUAUAACCUAAUA
rnacentral:misc_RNA from 1 species